AGCGCAACCAAUAAGCUCUACUGCUUCCUCCUCCCCAUGCGACAGGAGGCGAGGUGCUUACAACGUCUGAGUUUGCGUUAAAUGAGGACGAUCCAUAUUGACCUUGCUGGCUUUCACCAAAUGGCUGGGAUUCCCAAAGUAGAUAAUACACAGGGAUUUGAAGCUGACUGAAGAGAAUGGAAAAGCAGGGCCAGCCCCUAGGGCCUCCGGGCACCAACAGAAUGCACAAGACCUGCCAAGCACGGAGACAUGGCCCCCUCACACCGUACCUGUUGUCCCAGGCCCUAAAGAACUUUGAAGUUCGUGAGGACACAGGGGACGCCCAGGUCACUGCUGGGGCCGCCUGCCAGCCUCCUCGUGCCUGCUUGGAGUCAGCACUGGUCACUCAUGGCACUGUCUGAUGUAGCCCCAGGGACUGGAAGAUGAGAGUUUAGCCAAAUCUCAGCUCUGUGGGGCCAACAUCAAGUGUCCUUUGCAGUCAGAAGCCCUUGUCAGUACACAGGUGUGAGAGGCAGUGCGACAGUUCUGGGCCACCAGGCACCUUCCACCAUAAUAAUUUUCUCUUGACCACAGUUAGCAGGAGAAAUGAAGAACAUUUGCCAACCUUGUCUAACAGGGUCGCCAAUAAAGGACAAGAGGAGAGGUAAUAAAGUACAGAAGUGAAACAUACAACAGGAAACAAGAGUCAUCUCUGGGCUCAUUUCUCUGAUUCAGGCAUCUGAAGAAAGGGCUGAGUGAACCCCGCUAUCAACAACCACCCCAACCUGAGCCAAUGACCCCUGAGCGGUGAAGACCAGAGAGGGGAACCUGUAACCCCAUGAAGUCAUCCAGAGGGCAUCAGUGCCAUGCGCAUGAAUUCCAGGUCCUCAACAGUUUAGCCUCCUAUGAAGAGAGCCCCGACCUAGAAAAGGCUGGGCUCGCAUCCCACUCCGGGCCCUUCUCCUUUGAUGACCUUGACAGUCACUUCUCACCGUCACCAUGAGAGUUCCCAUCUGUACAAUGACAGUCAAUAGAUUAGAAGUCAUGAACCCAAAUGCCAGUUGGGACCAUGCAGAUAUGGAGAUGAACUAAAGAGUGCUAAUUAGGUCUCACUCCUUGGCAACUCUCCUCCUCCAAUGUUGACUGGGGGAUCCCAGAUCCCAGCAACUUCCAAAUUGCAACUCCACAUUUUAGAGUUCUUUACAGCCAGCCUGUGAACCAGGUAUCCCUACACCUGAAGGAAAUACAUUCUUUUUUUCAAAAUAAGAGCAACUACCACGACAAAAUAAUAAGCAGCCAUCUUGUUGGUGAAUGGAAGAGACAUGUGUUUGAGGGAUUUCUUUCAAUCACUGUUCUGAACUUACUGCAUCUUACCAGCCAUAGAAAUACUGGAAGAAAUAAUAACCAAGAAAUUAGAUACCUAGGAAUAAAUUUAACCAAGAAAGUGAAAGAUCUAUACUCAGAAAAUUGUAAAACAUUGAUGAGAGAAGUUGAAGAUGACAUAAAUAAAUGGAAAGA